CGAUGCCUAAGACAUGCAAGUCGUACGAAGCUGCCUUUGAAAUGAAGUGCUUGCGACGGGUGGAUAAAGAUUACAGCUUAGUGGCGGAAGGGUGAGUAACACAUGGGUAAUCUACCUCAGAGACUGGGAUAACAGUUAGAAAUGAUUGCUAAUACCGGAUGAUAUAAGGAAUGAUACGUUUAUUCUUUAGUAAAAGGAGCCUUUAAAGCUUCACUUUGAGAUGAGCCUGUGGCGUAUUAGAUAGUUGGUAGGGUAAUGGCCUACCAAGUCAACGAUGCGUAGCCGGACUGAGAGGUCGAUCGGCCACACUGGGACUGAGACACGGCCCAGACUCCUACGGGAGACAGCAGUUAGGGAUAUUCGUCAAUGGGGGAAACCCUGAACGAGCAAUGCCGCGUGAGUGAUUGACAGUUCUUUGGAUUGUAAAACUCUGUUGUUAGGGAAGAACGACCUGUGUAGGAAAUGACACAGGAGUGACUGUACCUUUCGAGAAAGCACCGACUAACUACGUGCCAGCCGCCGC
rnacentral:rRNA from 1 species